CCAGCAGCAUGCAGUAGACAUACGGUGACAUUGAAAAACAGUACCUAAGGACUCCAGCUGAAAUCGAGGCCCCUUUGUCUAGGCUUGGUACAAACAUACAGGAAGAGAGAGUCCCUGCUGAAGACAAAAGGUUGUGGGGAAGGGGAUAUGACCUACAACAGAGUGAACAAAUCUACAAGUGUCAUUAGGUGGGGAAACUGAGGGAAAGAUUUUCAUCAAUUUGCCAGUGCUGAUGCAAGAAGUCUGUGACAGAACCGCACAUAGUACCCAGAUCUUCUGAUUCCCAUGUCUGUGUUCUGACUACUGUGUUCCCAUAUUUGUCCUCUCACAUCUAGAGCAUAUAUGCUUUUUUAAAAUAAUUUAUAUGGUCUGUGUAGAUGUUAUUUCCUUUUAGUAUUUAAAUGGGCAGCAGUUAGUGCUAACACAGACUUGAUUGAAUUAAGUGGGAAUGCAGUAAAAUUCACUAAUACCUUUAAAAUGAGGGUGGAGAAAUUUCAGGUUGCUGAUAAAGCUCUAGGGUUGCCAGGUGUCCAAGUGAGAUAACACUCCAAUGAGGCAACCUCAUUAGCUAAUAAGAACUGUACUUAUCAUCCCAUUGACACCCAGCGUGAAGUCUUUUGGUACUCAUCCUUUUCUCUGCCACAGUAACAAUCUCUAGUUCCAGGCAGGCAGGUUGCAGAUGCAUAUUCUUCCUUAGGGUCAUGUGUUUCUGACAGUCUUUAAUAGCACUGUAUUUUUGCAGUUCAAUACCUUAUCCUUUAGAUGGCAUUAGAUCCUUUAACAUGUUAGAAAAAUAACACUCACCAUAUUAAAGUGUGAGAUGAGGGUAAAUGAGUACAGCAGUAACUUUAGACACUUUGCUGCAAGGAAUGCAGCCAAUACUUGUUGACAGGAAACCAUAAGUAUUAAAUAAAAGCCUAGAUCCUUGGCUAUGGGCAAGGAGGAGGCAGCACGAUUCGUGAGUGUAGGGUUCAGAGGAGGCAAUCCUGGACUAGGUCAGUCCUCAGGCAUUGCACCAAUUGUUAGCUAUCCCAAGGAGCAAAUAGAGCAGCUGGGGAUUGCCAGAGUACAGGGAGGACCCAUCUCCCCCGCCAUUCUCCCUGUGUCUGGUGCGGGGAGGCAUAAGAUUGAGCUGUUAUGCAGGAUCUAUGCCAUCAGAGUUUCCUUGUAUUCUAGAGUGAUGCUUCAAUAGCUGGUUAUGCCAUAAUAGGUCCAGAUCUGUUGUUGGUGUGUAAAGUGGGUGCACAAGGUAGGAUCCAAGAUUAAGAUGGUAAAAAGAAGUGUAACACACAAGACACUUUCGUUGAAAAUACAGUUGUGCAUCUGCACAUGAUCUUGUAUGAACCACUUCUAGAAAAUUAAAUUUUAAACUAUUUUCCCAGUA